GACGAACGCUGGCGGCGUGCCUAAUACAUGCAAGUCGAACGCAGUGGGGACGGGUGAGUAACACGUGGGUAACCUCCCAUCAGAGGGGAUAACACUUGGAAACAGGUGCUAAACCGAUACUGAUGGAUGGCCCCGCGGUGCAUUAGCUAGUUGGUGCGGUAACGGCUCACCAAGGCCACGAUGCAUAGCCGAGCUGAGAGGGUGAUCGGCCAAACUGGAACUGAGACACGGCCAAGACGCCUACGGGAGGCAGCAGUAGGGAAGCGUCGGCAAUGGACGAAAGUCGGACCGAGCAACGCCGCGGGAGUGAAGAAGGUUUUCGGAUCGUAAAGCUCUGUUGUUAAGGAAGCGGUACUUAACCAGAAAGGGACGGCUAACUACGUGCCAGCAGCCGCGGUAAUUC
rnacentral:rRNA from 1 species